ACAAAAAUUUACAACUACUUUACUAAAUAAAAUUAAGGCGUAAUUUAAUUAUAAUAAACAUAUUGUUUGAAAAACUUUGAGAGGCAAAAGCGGCAGAAGCAAUUUCCGCCUUCCUUUGCUCUUUAAACAGAACCAGAAGCGUCU